AACAUUUUGUUGUGCAGUCUGCCCUGCACUUGUAAACAGCUCCAAGGAAAUAACUUAUGAACUUGUUUUCGACACCUUCGGGUGCGUUUCAUGGUCGGAGACCUAAACUAAAGUUGUAGGCGACGUUCUAAACUUUAAGAAUGUCAAUUUCGUUUAGGGGUCGGACUAUUUUAAGUAAGCGGUUUCGAUAGCCGAAGUUGGCUAGAAACAUAAUUUUUGGUUAAGUUAAUAAUAGUUAGAAUGUUAUUAAUUCUUGCUAUUAUUAUAUUUGCGUAGAUCGGACAAGCGACUAUCGAAAAGGUUUGAGGCAAACUGAUCGAGAUAUCGUCAUAAUUAUUUGAAGAAUUUGGAUAGCAAGUGGGAUGGUAUGAUAUGAUUUGAAGAGUUAAGCUUCCGAAGUUUUAAUUCUCGGAAGUCAUUUGUAUAAGAAGAAAAAGAAGGUUUUCAUUCUAGCAGUCCGCAGUAGUCUAGAUAUUUUAACUAGAAUUUUGUAUAACGCGUUUUUAACUCUGAUAUUAUUUGUAAAUGGGGUCACAUGUAUUUUAAUAUAUGAAAUAUGUUUUGA